GUUUUCUGUGGAGUUUUUAAUUCAUGACGUUUUGUUAUUUCGGAUUUACAUGUGUGAUGAAAUGUUUACCUGCCAGAGCUAUACAUAUAAAUGCCAGUAUUAUAUGGAGAAACUUUGAGGUAGCAGGGCAAUAGUGUAGUGUCCCUUUAAGAGAGGAGUGUGCUGUGAGGUCACGUGACCAGUGUUUACUGAGUGAAAAGGAAGCGCGAUUCACUUAGUUGGUAACGACUUCCAACCCGGUGUGCAGCCACUUGGUCUGAAGCCACGGCGGCUGCCGAGCAUCAGGGUACUGAAGCGCAUAUGUGACCUUCAUGUGGUCUGGGCAGCGAUGUGGAUGUGGGGGCCUGUUGCAGGUACCCAGGUGUUUCAGGUAGAAGGAGACGGAGGAGUUGAGCAAGUUCUCCCAGCAAGUUGGAGCCGAUCUACCUGCUCAGGUGGAGGCGGAGCUUAAGGCGCUGGAGGAGCGAGUGCACAAGUAGAAGCGCACAGACAGGAAGUUCAACCGGAAACAUGGCCGUGGUCGCUGAGGACUCAGAAUGCAGAUAGUUAAGCGUCAUCAUUUGCAGCUGGGCAGCAGCUUUGGACCCGGCUGCCCUGCUGACUCUGGGAAUUGAUGCCCUGGUGGGUUGUAGUCCCUGCUCCAACCACUGGGCGGGGAUGUACCUCCCAUUGAUGACCAACCCUCUCAUGACAUCACGAUACACAGAACCCUAAUCACACUUUAUUGGUUUUAUUCAUGUAAACAUGAAUCCUUAUACAAGUCCUGUCCAGUCCUUAAAUCCUGAGGACCAGGUUGAGAUUUGUCUUAGAAACAUCACGCUCCUAUUUGGUUUU